CACGGAGUUAGCCGGAGCUUAUUCUCCAGGUACUGUCAUUAUCAUCCCUGGUAAAAGAGCUUUACAACCCUAAGGCCUUCAUCACUCACGCGGCAUUGCUGGAUCAGGCUUUCGCCCAUUGUCCAAUAUUCCCCACUGCUGCCUCCCGUAGGAGUCUGGGCCGUGUCUCAGUCCCAGUGUGGCCGAUCAUCCUCUCAGACCAGCUAAAGAUCGUCGCCUUGGUAGGCCUUUACCCCACCAACUAGCUAAUCUUACGCGGGCUCAUCCUUGGGCGAUAAAUCUUUGGUCCGAAGACAUUAUACGGUAUUAGCACAAAUUUCUCUGAGUUAUUCCGUACCCAAGGGCAGAUUCCCACGCGUUACGCACCCGUGCGCCACUAAGUCCGAAGACUUCGUUCGACUUGCAUGUGUUAGGCAUGCCGCCAGCGUUCGUUCUGAGCCAGGAUCAAACUCU
rnacentral:rRNA from 1 species